GAAAGAGGAGGCUAGCGUUGUUCGGAUUCAUUGGGCUUAAAGCGCGUGUAGGCGGUCCGUUAAGUGUCCUGUGAAAUUCCCGGGCUCAACCCGGGAGCUGCAGGGCAAACUGGCGGACUUGAGGUCGGUAGGGGUGCCUGGAACUCUCGGUGGAGCGGUGAAAUGCGUAGAUAUCGAGAGGAACACCGGAGGCGAAGGCGAGGCACUGGGCCGAAUCUGACGCUGAGACGCGAAAGCGUGGGGAGCAAACAGG
rnacentral:rRNA from 1 species